AUAUUGGUGAUCUCUAUAACAUGAAGUCCUUUGAUGGAAAUGGGCUUCAACACCUCUCCUUUCUCGAAAUCUUCACUUUCGUAAUUGUCAACAACUUGAGCCAUUUCCUGAAAAUUGCGUUCCUUCCUCGCUGAAAUCACUUGAAAUUUGGAGUUGUGAAAGACUUGAAUCAUUACCGGAAGACUGCCUCCCUGAUUCUCUGAAGCGUCUGAGCAUCGUAUUUUUCCCUUUGUUAAAAGAAAGGUAUAAAAGGAAGGAACAUUGGUCCAAAAUUUCUCUCAUUCCUGUCAUAAA
rnacentral:lncRNA from 1 species